rnacentral:rRNA from 1 species
CCUACGGGUGGCAGCAGUGAGGAAUAUUGGUCAAUGGGCGCGAGCCUGAACCAGCCAAGUAGCGUGAAGGAUGACUGCCCUACGGGUUGUAAACUUCUUUUAGAAAGGAAUAAAGUGAGGCACGUGUGCCUUUUUGUAUGUACUUUAUGAAUAAGGAUCGGCUAACUCCGGGCCAGCAGCCGCGGUAAUACGGAGGAUCCGAGCGUUAUCCGGAUGUAUUUGGUUUAAAGGGAGCGUCGAGGGGUUGUUAAGUCAGUUGUGAAAUUUUGCGGCUCAAACGUAAAAUUGCAUUUGAUACUGGCAGUCUUGACUACAGUUGCGUUAGGCGGAUUUCGUUGUGUAGCGG